CUUGAUGGCGACCGGCGCACGGGUGCGUAACGCGUAUGCAACCUACCUGUAACAGGGGGAGUAACACUGAGAAAUCGGUACUAAUACCGCAUAACACUAUGAGAGGCAUCCCUUGUGGUUGAAAGUUUCGGCGGUUACAGAUGGGCAUGCGUUGUAUUAGCUGGUUGGUAAGGUAACGGCUUACCAAGGCGACGAUACAUAGGGGGACUGAGAGGUUAACCCCCCCACAUUGGUACUGAGACACGGACCAAACUCCUACGGGAGGCAGCAG
rnacentral:rRNA from 1 species